ACGAUCAGCGAUGCACCCACGUGGCCCCGGUACCUGCUCGAGGAUGGGCGGGGUCGGCCACAAGCAGGGGCCUAGGCCCCGCCCCUCUAUGCCCCCGCGCCUAGGUGCUGUCCCCGCCCCUUCCUGUGGCCUGGCGCCCGAUGACUGACAUCGCCUUUUCCUGUAGCCCAGCUUCUGUUGGGCCGGCCUCUUCCGGUCACCUGGGCCGUCGCGGCCCCGCCCUUCUUUCUGUCCCGCCUUCCAUUGGCCCCGACCCCGCAACGACCCCUACUGGGGUCCUGUUAGCCCCGCCCCCUCACCUGAAGAGCGUCUGGCGCAGGAUGCGAGUGACCGUGGCCACGCGGGGCUCGCGGCCCGUGGAUAGCGCGUGUAGCUCCAUCUUGGACGCCACCAUCCGUGUGGUCAUCUCGGCGUCCGCGGCUACUCCAGCCCCACAGCAGCUGAGGGAAAAGGGAGGAUCGGUGUGAGCAGGGCUGGGACGUUCGGGGACCGGAGUGGGAACGAGGGGGCCGUUCUUUUUUGCAUGCGGGAACUGGGCUGGGGAGUCUCACUAGAUUUUGGGGGUGAUGAAGUGGAUCUUCUCGCAGCUCUUGUCCGCCACGACCGAAUCGUUAGUGGCUCGCGUGUCGGCGCCCAGAAUGACCCCGUCCUGAGGAGAGGGAGGGACCGCAGCCUCAGUGCCUGCUCGAUACCCCCGGCUCCCCUCCAGCUCCCCGUCCCUCCCCGCUGCUCACUUGGAACACCAGGCCCGCGAUGGUGGUCCCGGUCUUGCGUGCAUGAGGGACCUUGAGCCCCGGGAGGACGCGUUCCAAUGAUGCAUUUCUGGAAACGGAGGAGGGCGCCCAGGUUUCGGCUCUGCUUUCAAGACCCCUGUUGCUUCCGCUAACCUGGUCCCCGUCUCCCUCAUCUUCCGGGGUAAGCCUGGAACCCAAGUCGCCCAACACACCCUCCCCCACCCCCAGCCAGGAAAAAAGGCCACGACCAAGCAGAGGCGGCUCAGGAGUGACCGCCCCCCGCGGCCCCGCUUCACCUUUGGCAGUUCUCGAAGGAGAAGCCCCCUCGGGGCUCCAGGGCUGGCUUCAGCAUCUUGGGGCAGGCAGAGCGGAUUAGGGGUCGCGGGCGGAUGGGUCGGUCAGACAAGCGGGGCCAGUGAGGAGCUAAAAAGUCCUCUGCUAGGCUCCACGUCUGUCCUUCCUGCUUUCGCUUUCGCCUUUACCCUUCCUCAAAGGCCCGUGGCGAUUUUCUGCAUCUUGUCUUUCACUUUCGGCUUUGCUUGUGGCUCUGAGCAUUUGGGGAACCGGAUGAUGUCCCUUGCUGUGCCCUCUGUGCUGCUCACUGGGUCCUCUGUUGGAGAGAGGGACAAAUCUCUUCCCUUCUGGACAUUAUUCAGGUCCUCCUCCCCCUCCAUCUGAGCCGCUUGCUCUUACCCUAGCCUCAACUCUGACCUCCAGUCCCAGCAUAGUAAAGCUCUCAGAGCCUUGGCCAAGUCUGCAUUGUUGCUGGCCACCCAGUAGCAUCAGGCAUAGCUGACUUUUGUUCCUUGUCACCUUUCUUCCAACUCUCGCCUCUUUUGUUGCCUUUACUCCUCCGCGAAACCUCAAACAGAGGCUCAGUCCUCAGUCACAGGGACCCUGGUCUUUCCAUCUUCCGUCUCAGGUGCCAUCUUCCCUCUCUCAAGAGGGGCACCAUGGGUGCUGGGUUCCAUUCAUGGCCAAGCCUUGUUAUUUCACCUCCCCAGUGAACUCUUGUCUGCACACAUCUUUUUCCUAGCACUUCUCAUCUCAGCUAGCAUCCUCUCCCACCUGGACAUUGCACUGGCCUCCCUGGUUACCUUGCAAUUCUUGCCCCCCACCUCAGGCUACACCUUACCCUGCAGAGAGCGGGUCUUUCUAAAUUGGAAAUCUGGUCACACUCUUUCUCUGGUUUAAACCCUUCAGCAGUCUGGGCCUGGUGGCUCACACCUGUAAUCCCAGCACUUUGGAAGCCCAGGAGUUCGAGGCUGCAGUGAGUAUGGAUCAUACCAUUGCACUCCGGCCUGGGCAAUAGACCCCGUCUCAAAGGGUUUAUUUUAAUUUUUUUUUUUUGAGAUGGGGUCUUACUCUGUUGCCCAGGCUGGAGUACAGUGGUGUGAUCUCGGUUCACUGGAACCUCUGCCUCCCAGGCACGAGCACUCUUCCACCUCAGCCUCCUGAGUAGCUGGGACCACAGGCACACACCAUGUCUGGCUAAUAUUUUGUAUUUUUUUUUGUUAGAGAUGGGGUUUCACCGUGUCGCCCAGGCUGGUCUUGAACUCCUGAACUCAGGCGAUCCACCCUCCUUAGCCUCCCAAAGUCCUAGGCUUACAACCAUGAACCACUGUGCCUGGCCUAUUUUACGUUUUUGGUUUUUCUUUGACACAAGGUCUUGCCGUUGCUCUUGGCUCACUGAAACCUCUGCCUCUCAGCUUCAAGCAAUCCUCCCACCUCAGCCUCCCUAGUAGAUUUGACCACAGGUGUGGCCACACCUGGCUAAUUAAAAAAAAAAAUUUUUUUUUUUUUGAGAUGGAGUUUUGCUCUUGUUGCCCAGGCUGGAGUGCAAUAGCAUGAUCUCAGCUCACUGCAACCUCCACCUCCCAGGUUCAAACGAUUCUCCUGCCUCAGCCUCCCGAGUAGCUGGGAUUACAGGCAUGCACCAUCAUGCCCGGCUAAUUUUCUAUUUUUAGUAGAGAUGGGGUUUCUGCAUGUUGGUCAGGCUGGUCUCAAACUUCCGACCUCAAGUGAUCCGCUCACCUCGGCCUUCCAAAGUGCUGGGAUUACAGGCGUGAGCCACCGUGCCCGGCCUCUAAACUCUUGUGGCCCUGUCAUUCAUCCAGCACUCAAAAGGUUGUCUCACCUGCCCUUUUGGGAGCUGGAAGAGACAGCUCAAAUUGUCCCCCCAAACCCCCCUGCCCCGUGCUCCUCUGACAGGGCUGCAGGUGGAGCCAGCUCCAGUCCCCACGCCCAGCACAGAGGCAGGCAUGGUGCACACUGCCUCAACAGCUUGACCAGAAGAGUGGGCAGCUGCACAUCUAGGGUGCCCAGCUCAGUCCCAGGCCUCAGCAGAGCCCAUCUUGCCUCAUUGCACACAGCACUGAGCCUGUGGCUGGUGAGGAGUGAAACCUGGUGUGGGACUCUAGUGCCUCCCUUCAACCUGUAACAUAGACAUCAGGGCUUACGGUAGCAAAGGAAGGUCUUUAUUCAGGAGGCGGGGGCUCUGGGCUGGCAGUCGGGGAUGCAGGGGGACCCUGGCGGUAGGCACCCAGCAGGAUGGCAUUGAUAUGCUCCAGGGUCAGGUUGCUGAAGACCAUGUUGAGAUGCUGUAUCCCGUGCAGGGGCAGCAGGUGCACAGGCUGUGGCUGGCGGCCCUGCCACAGGCCACAUAGCUCGGUGCUGCGCGUCGCCACCGUGUCGUCACCAUCCUCAUAGAGCACACCCACAGGAUCCGCGUAGGGGAAGCCGUGGUCGUAGAUGUAGGUGCGGGGCGUGGGUAGGCCCACGCCAUAAAGACAGUAUACUUCCACACCAGGUGCUGGGAGUCCUGCCAGGAGGUCACGUGACUGUAGCCACAUGUACCAGCCUUCCUCAAAGUGCAGGUCUGCAAAGAAGCGCUGGAAGUCACGGCCUGUGUAGUUGAAGCUGGGUGUAGAAAUGAACACGUGGUCCUCAGGCCACGCCAUGCGAGAGGGAAACAUCCAGGGGGAGGUGGUGGUUAUGCGCUGCUCCUCUUUCAGCUUGAUGCUGGACAUGAUGGGGAUGCCCUGGUUGUCACCUGUGGAUAUGGAGCAAGGUGGGACAGGGAGCCAGGCCUGGCUACCCCUGGCCCACAACCUGCUGAGGGUAGGCUCAGCCAGAUGCUCAAUCUUGUCCCUGCCCAAUCUAGACACAGAUUCUAAGCCACAGGCUUGAGCAGGCCUGAUAUUCAAUGCUGCUCAGUGUCAGCUUACUCAAUGAGAAGCCCUGAUAAGACCUCUGUUGGGUGGAGCUGUAGGGCUUCAAAAGGAGGGCAGGGGCAGCUGCCAUGGCUCAUCCCUGUAAUCCCAACACUUUGGGAGGCUGAGGCAGGAGGAUCACUUGAGGCCAGGAGUCCUAGGUAAUGCAGUGAGACCCUGUCUCUACAAAAAAAAAAAAAAAAAUCAGCUGGGCAUAGUGGAGUGCACCUCUAGUCCUAGCUACUCAGGAGGCAAAGGCAGGAAGAUUGCUUGAGCCUAAGAAUUUGAAGUUACAGUAAACCAUGAUCACACCACUGCACUGUAGCCUGGGUGACACAGUGAGAUCCCAGCUUAAAAAAUAAAUAAAUAGGGCCGGGUACGGUGGCUCACGCUCCCAGCACUUUGGGAGGCCAAGACAGGCAGAUGACUUGAGGUCAGGAGUUCGAGACCAGCCUGGCCAACAUGGGGAACCCUCGUCUCUACUAAAAAUAUAAAACUUAGCCAGGCAUGGUGGCACAUGCCUGUGAUCUUAGCUACUAGGGAGGCUGAGGCAGAAGAAUCACUUGAACUGGGGAGGCGGAGGUUGCAGUGAGUGGAGAGUGCACUACUGCACUCCAGCCUGGGAAACAGAGUGAGACUCCAUCUCAAAAUAAAUAAACAAAUAUUUUAUAAAAGGCCCAGCACAGCGGAUCACAAGGUCAGGAGAUCGAGACCAUCCUGGCUAACAUGGUGAAACCCCGUCUCUACUAAAAAUACAAAAAAUCAGCCGGGCGCGGUGGCGGGCGCCUGUAGUCCCAGCUACUCGGGAGGCUGAGGCAGGAGAAUGGCGUGAACCCCGGGGGGCGGAGCUUGCAGUGAGCCGAGAUCGCGCCACUGCACUCCAGCCUGGGCGACAGAGCGAGACUCCGUCUCAAAAAAAAAAAAAAAAAAAAAAAGGCCCAGCACAGUGGCUCACGCCUGUAAUCUCAGCACUUUGGGAGGCUGAGGCAGGAAGAUCACUUAAGCUCAGGAGUUUGAGACCAGCCUGGGCAACAUAGCAAGACCUCGUCUCUACUAAAAAACAAAAAUAAAUUAGGUGUGGUGGUGUGUGCCUAUAGUCUCAGCUAACUGGGAGGCUGAGGCAGGAGGAUUGCUUGGGCCAGGGAGAUUGAGGCUGCGGCUAUGAUUGCGCCACUGCACUCCAGCCUGGGCGACAGAAUGAGACCCUGUCUCAAAAAAAAAAAAAAAUGUAGGCGGGGCUGAGGACCGGGGCGUGUGGGGAUGGUGGGUGAGGCCCGGGAUGGUGGGGGCAGUACUGGCUGUCCUCCCUCGGGCAUGUGUCUUUCUGCUCCUUGUGUGGCUUGUGCAGCAAUGGGGGCCACAGAGUUGUGCUCCAGAAAGGGGGAAACAAGAGGUGUCUGUUUGAUGUUUAUUGGUGGUGUCUGAUGAGUGUUUCUCUUGUCCAGACUGUGUUUCUCUUUCCAGACCAGCUCCCAGGGUACAGGGGGUGGGGAGUAGGUGGUAGCUGUGUCAGUACUGGGCCCUGGUGCCACUCCCUAGGGAAGGGCAGGCGGGGCCUCGGGGGGUCUGGCCCUAGCUCUGGCAGAUCCAUCCUCAGUAAAGCACAUCCCUGGGCAAAGGCGCUCCUGCGAGCAAGUGGAAGGCAGGCAAGGGCUGGGUAGGCAGGCUCUGGGGCUACAAGGAACAAAUCUGGGGGCAGAUAGCUGGGAGCAGAUAGCUGGGAUUCACUUUCUGUGUUCACUGCCCCUUUGCCAUCACUGACACAGACUCUGGAAGGAGCCACCCUAAUUGCUCAGGCCAGGGUCACUGCUCUGGGGGCCAGUGACAGCGAGCAUGCCGGCCCAGGGGUGGUAGAUAGCACCCCUAGAGGCCACUGUGAGCAGGAGCCGCAAUGAAGGGAGGCCCAGGAUCAGCUUGGUCUCACCCAUCGCUGGGCAUAAGUGGUCGAGGCCUUCUCACCUGAGGCCAAGACCAGCAUGGGCUUGAUGGAUCCACCCCAGGGAGCCCCAAGAGAGAUGAAGCCAUCGAUGAAGCGGUCCUUCCAGGCCUGGGGCUGGCGCAGCAGGAAAUAGAGCAAGUGUAGACAGCCGAGGCUGUGGCCAAUGAGGAAGACAGGCUUCCCAUAGGCAGCGUGCAUCUCCUCCACCAGCCCUGCGAGCUUGCGGUAGUACUCCUCCUGCUGGCCUGCAGUGGGUGGAAGGGGUCAGGGCAACUGGGGUCUGGGGCACUUGCCCCACCCCAAGCAGGUCAUCUGCAGAGACACUCACCGGGCUCCAGCCUCCAGUCAUAGGGGGCGGCGCGCACAGUCUCAUCUCGCACGUAGCCGUUGUUGACCAGGUUCUGCACCAGCGUGUGCAGGUACCCUGUCGGGGGAGCAGCAGCACCGGGGGCUUGGGCCAUGCCUUCUGUGGGCCAGCACCCCAGCCUGGAGCCCUAGCCCUGCCCUCUGACACAAACCUGCCAGCUUGCUGCUGUCUAGGUACUCCACAGAGUAGGUCUUGCCAAAGCCAGGAACGCGGAUCUGGACACCAGGGGCGUUGGACACGAGCCCAGAGCUCCGGUUGUAGACAACCCUGCGGGGCAGGGGUGCCACUCAGCAGCCAGUAGCCAAGGGGCAGCAUGUCGGGGCUGGGGCGGAGCACAUGGCUGUACCUGGUGUUAUCGAUCCAGCAGUCUACCCCAAGGGGUAGGAACAUGUUGAGAUCCAGCCAGAUGGUGAAGAAGUCCUCUGUCUUGCGGUAGCACAUCCAGUUCACCACAUCUGGUUUGUCCAGCUUGGCUUCUAGCUGAUUCCCCAGGCAGCCGGGCACUGUGAGCAGCGGCCCUCACUCUGGACUCUGGAUUCCCCCCAUGACCCUUACCCCAGUCACCCCAGAUGCUGCAGUGACCAGACCCACCCCCCACCUCCCACACCCUCAACCCCCAGAUACAAGGCACACUUACCCUCCCCUGCUCACACCCCCUCUCCCCGCUGUCCCCCCAGUAGCCAAAGCCCAGGCUUCCCUGAGGAAGGGAAGGUGCCGAGGUGCUGAGGCCAAGGCCGCUGACCCCUGCCUCUGCAGAGCAAACACCCAGCCUGGCGCUCCUUUAUUGCCAAAGUCCAAGGUGGGAACAGAUAGGUCUGGGGGCAUGGGGGCUGGGCCUAAUAGGGGCCGGGCAUGGAUGGGCCUCUCCUGCUCACCAGUCCUGGGCUGGGCAUCUUGUCCUUGGUGGGUGGGGGCCAAGGAAGGAGUGGUGGGGCUUGGCCCAGAGUCUGGUGUGGCUGUGACUGACCACAGCUUGUGAUGCCCCAGCCAAGACCUCAGGCACACCCAGUCCCCCACUCCGCCCCCCUGGGUCAGACAACUGAGAGACACAGUGUGGGGGGAGAAGGGAGGUCAUUCAUCUACGGGACAAGCUUUUGGCCCCUCCCCACACCACGGCAGGUACUUAUGUCGGGGCUUAUGCAGAGCAGAAGGGCUUUGGCCGGGUCAGCUGCCAGGGGCUGGGGCCCAGGCUCCCCAGGGUCUGGCGUGGUGCAUCAGGGGCCUGGUGGGGGCUUACCGAGGAUGACGGGCCGUGUGUGGUUACUGAGCUCAGCCUUGGGCGUGGUGUGCGGGGGGAAGAGCACAUUGAGGAGCCAGAAGGGGGCGGCAGGAGGGAGCAGCAGCCCCAGCAGCAGCGGCACCCACUGCCAUGGGGAGCUGGGCGGCCCCAUUCCAGCCCUGGUGCCUACUGCCAGAGGAAGCGGCACUGGGCUGGCCUUAUCUGGUGUGGGAGUGGGAGGGGCCCUAGGGCCAGUGGGAGGGACGGCCUGGCCAGUGGGGGUUGUGGCCAGAGAUUGCCGGAAAGGGGCACAGCCUCAGGGAGCCGGCUCUGGGCCUGGGUUCAGUUCCGCCUUCUUCUCUUGGCGCCAGGGGAAACAGAGCCGGGGCAGCAGGAGGCCCAGAAGUACACAAUGUUUUAUUGAAAAAGUCAGGCCUCAGCUCGGCUGUCUCCAUUUGGCUCAGCUUGGUGGGGGGCCCUGCCCAUAGUAGACUGAGCCAGAUCUUUCUGCAGGCAGCUGGGCUGGACUCCCUCCCUGGCUACCCUUCCCUUCGUCUCUGAUGGUGACAUCCAAAUAAUAAAUAUGCAAUAAAUAGCGCUCCUGGGCUGGGCCAGGCUGGCUGCCUUUAAACCCCA